AGGGGAUCAAAUGGAGGACAGGCAUAACAACGUUACAGACAUCAGCUACUGAAGAAGGGGGCUGUACCCACUUUGUUCCAGUGGAACAACUAUUCUGUUUCAGCACCAAGGCACACUGGGGUAUGGCAGAUGAGAGAGGUCUCCACUCCUGUGGAUGAAGAUCCUGUGCCUAUGGACUUCCAGCAUCUGGAGCAUGAUUACUUUUCAGUUCCUGAAACCGCAGCAGUAGAUCUUACAUUAGAUCAGACAGAAGAUCUCCGUAAAGAGGUGGAGCGGCUGAGGAGACAAGUGGAAGAGUUGUCUGUCCAUCUGGGUUUUUUGUUUAGGCUGAUUUGCUGCAUCUGACAAUGACAUACGGUUCUACACUAGUUUGCCCCCAUACUACAGUUCCCAUGAAGCACUGCCCUCAUCACAUCUAUCUGUUCCUCAUCUUCCUCAGCUUCCCUGUUCCCUCAUCAGUCAUCCAUGUAAUGGGAUCAUGAAAUGAUGCAGACAAGACUCAAUCCUUCGUCCUGUAAGGCAAAGGUGCCCGAAGGUCUGGAUCCAGGGGCCACUACAUCCUGAGAAAACAAAGAACUUCAGAUAGAAUCAACAUAAGAAUUAUCUUACAAAGUUAGCAUCUCUGUCUCAAGUAUCACACCUCACUGAAUGCAGAUUGCUUCAUUGUUGUCCUUCUACAUCUGCUCCCUUCUCCCCCUCCCCUUUCUUACCCUGUUCUGUCCUUUGUCAGCUAAAAAUCAAGCUCACCUAAUUCUUUUAUCAAAAAAUACUCUAUUGUAUCAACACUGCAAAUCUAAAUAUUCAUGAUUGAUAUCAUUUAAAAGGUCUCAGUGCGACUGGUCAUAACAAAGAUCUGUUUUUUAGAGAAAUUAGGUUUCUGCUCUGCAAUGUGUCUCCAAGGGGUCCUCAAUGAAAAUUACUUUCAGGGUGUUACCUCCUGUGUUACUGAAUUAAUUAAUUCCCAAAUUCUUUUUGUUUACCUUUUGGUUUGAUGUAACACACUGGUCAGGGGGAUUCUGUAGCCAGAUUCAACCCCAUGGUAUUGUGUGUGAUAAACCCACAACACCAUAUUUUUAUUAUAAAAGUCAGGUAUGCAUUCUCUUACUCUUAAGAUUCAUCUUUGAGCAUAGAAUGUUUUGUAUUAAUGAUUUCUGAAUUGAUUAAAUUAUGUAAUUGGCAUGAUACAUAUUUAC